UGGAUCCACCUACAUGGGGUCCCAGGGUCUGAGGCUCACCGUGGUUGAGCACUUCAGUCCAGAGCCCGACGCCCAGUGAAAGGAGAGCCUCACCUCUGGGGAAGAAAGGAUGAGAAAUCUGCAUGAGCUCCAGUGAAGCCGGCUGGCUAGAAUUCACGAAAGAAGAGGCCCCAGUUUCUUUAAGCAACCUCUAUGGACCGCCUCAGCUGCACUAGAGGAUUCUAAGAUGAUGAAGACGGUGCUGGCCCUUGAAGAGAUGGCAGUUUAGUGAUGCUGAGAAACCAGGAAGUGGAUGAUUACAAUAAUCCAAGGGGCCAGAGAGGAAUGGGAGAGGGCAAGUGGGUCAGACAUUGAAGCUGAACUUCUGUCACAGCUGAAUGAGUUCCUAUGCCCUAGCCGUGGAAUUGGGACUUGGAUGACAUGGUCCACAUUUCCUUCCUGUCCUCCCCACCUUUCCUACACUCUGCAGGAUGCAGUUCUUAGCCCUGAGAAAUCCUCUCAAUUUGCUGCCUUGAAUCAGUUGACCUGGUAGGACUUGUGGGAACAUGGAGGGUGGGCUUGGCCCUACAUACUCCAGUAUCUUUAUAUACAGAAUUGCACAUUUGUUUUUACUUGGGUUUCAUUGGUUCCACUUAGUGGUG